rnacentral:rRNA from 1 species
CGGCCACAUUGGGACUGAGACACGGCCCAGACUCCUACGGGAGGCAGCAGUGGGGAAUAUUGCACAAUGGGGGAAACCCUGAUGCAGCGACGCCGCGUGGAGGAAGAAGGUCUUCGGAUUGUAAACUCCUGUUGUUGAGGAAGAUAAUGACGGUACUCAACAAGGAAGUGACGGCUAACUACGUGCCAGCAGCCGCGGUAAAACGUAGGUCACAAGCGUUGUCCGGAAUUACUGGGUGUAAAGGGAGCGCAGGCGGGAAGACAAGUUGGAAGUGAAAUCUAUGGGCUCAACCCAUAAACUGCUUUCAAAACUGUUUUUCUUGAGUAGUGCAGAGGUAGGCGGAAUUCCCGGUGUAGCGGUGGAAUGCGUAGAUAUCGGGAGGAACACCAGUGGCGAAGGCGGCCUACUGGGCACCAACUGACGCUGAGGCUCGAAAGUGUGGGUAGCAAACAGGAUUAGAUACCCUGGUAGUCCACACCGUAAACGAUGAUUACUAGGUGUUGGAGGAUUGACCCCUUCAGUGCCGCAGUUAACACAAUAAGUAAUCCACCUGGGGAGUACGACCGCAAGGUUGAAACUCAAAGGAAUUGACGGGGGCCCGCACAAGCAGUGGAGUAUGUGGUUUAAUUCGACGCAACGCGAAGAACCUUACCAAGUCUUGACAUCCCUUGACAGACAUAGAAAUAUGUAAUCUCUUCGGAGCAAGGAGACAGGUGGUGCAUGGUUGUCGUCAGCUCGUGUCGUGAGAUGUUGGGUUAAGUCCCGCAACGAGCGCAACCCUUAU